GGUUUGGCGGAGGAAAGGGGCUUUCGGAUUCCGAUGUCUGUGUUAACCAUGCUCUCUCCUCAUCACCAGACUCAAGACUGGCAACGAGUUUGGGCGUUUGAGGAAGGGGGGAGGGGAAGGGUGACACCAAAUAGCCCGUGCAUAGAGAGAAUUCUGGAUUUAUGCAUUGAUGAAAGGUAUAUUAACCAAUCUCUAAAAAUAGACCCCUCCCAAUCAGUGCAGAUUUGGGGUUGCUCUGUGGUUUGGAGGCCCCUUUGCGAAACUGGAGGUCUGUGACCCCUGAGAUCCUCCCUUCAUCCCUCGACCAUCCCCCAGCCCCAAAACAGGACAGGGGGAAGGUGGUUUCCGAAAACUCAGCAACUCUGGUUUUUGAAACUUUCUCUGCUUUUGCAUUGCAUUUGUUGGUCUGCUGGGUGCCCCGACCCCCUUAUCAUGUCCUUCUUUUGGGAUGGGUUGUUGAUUUCAUUGGAUUUGCCCUCCCUUGGCUCAUGUGCCCUUAUUUAUGGCAGCGUACGUGGUCUGGGUGUAGACUUUCAGGAAGCGCAGCCAUGAGGCGCAUAUGUCCGUGUGUGGAUACAGCAUGAAUUUUCCUGAUAGUUUGCGGGCUUGGAAUAUUCUUCUGUUCACUCCAGCCCUUGCCUUCAGGCUCUUCUAGAAGGUGAGAGAAGACGAAAUCCCUUGUGAGGGUUUAGGGACAAGAGUGUGAAGUUUUGCUGUUUACUUUCUGGUCUGAGUUGAGGCUCCUGGAACUUUUUAGUUGCUGGGGAAAACCGAGGAGAAACGUGUGUUUGUGUGUUGCUGGUGGGCGGGGGCCUUUGGGAGGGAGGCCUGCUGAGGACUCUGUCUGCUGGGCCAUUUGCUAUAGGAUGUUGCAGACCUAUUUUGCAUACUGGGGGUGACAAGUUGAGACUUGUUCACUUGACACACUCCUGUGGUCAUAGUGAAUCUCUCUAAAGUUUUAACGAGUGGAGAAGGGGCUUGUGUGGAUCCUUGGAACCUGCUUGAAACUUCCCAGAAGACUUAUGAAGAGAAAAACCUUCAUGGAAGUGGCAGAAGGACAAACAACUCUGUGGCUGGGACCAGCAUCAUGGCCUGGUCUCCACUGUUUGAGAAGGGAGCUGCAUCAUGGAGGCCCGGAGCUGAUCUUUGGACCAGAAGGGAAUUAAAAAGAUGCCCCUGACAAGGGCUGCACCUGCCAGUUGCACGGAGCAUUGUUUGCGGAUUUUCCAAGCCUGAUGGAUUUACAGUGAUAUUCACCUGCCUGGGGAAUAAUGCUGGUGGAAGCAUUCUGUGGAACUCUGCACACGCACACAUUUCUGGAUGCUAAAAAUGGUUUGAAGGCAGGCUCUUGGAUCCUGUUGUACCUGGGAUUUAGAUGCUUUAAAUUAGACAAGAUAUGUAUCCAUUCAGUACUCUAGAGGGACUUGAGAACUGUCCUUCGCUGAACAAAGCUGGAAUAUCUUGGGGUUUGGAGAACUAAGGGAGCGAGUGGUGGUCUCUUGUACUACAACACGAGAGAGGUGACUGUAGAACAUCUGGCCUGCGCCGGCCAUGUGCAGGUUGAGCCUGCUGGCUGUGGAAGACCCGUGUCCACUGGAGAAGCUGAUCUCACCGUGUGUCUCCUCUGUGAUUCAUGGACUGUUUAAAUAAAUUUCCGAAGGAUAAAAAAAAAUUAUAAGAAGUUGGAAACAUAGAGUCAAAAGUUAUCUAUCCGUCGUCUCAUGGGCCUUGGUAACGUAAUUGCAAUUAUCAUUUCAAUGUGCUAUAACCCAUUUGUGUUGUUUUGUACGUUUUUAAAGUACGUUAUCUUAAGAUUCUCUCCAAAUUUUUUUCUAUUUGCAUUUUUUCCACAGGCAUUUCUAUAUUAUUCUAUAACCAUUUCAACCAUUUUGUAUUUGCUUUUAUCCCUGUGGCUGUUGGUGAUGAACUAUAGGUUUCCUAGUGUUUUCCCUUUUUUACAAAUAAAGUUUUUCCUUCCAGUAUUUCCUGUAUCCCAAGAGCAUCUCAGAAGUGGAAUCAUUGAAUCAAAGGGCAUAAACAUUACGUUUUGUGUUUUUUAUAUUUAGUUAUAAUACCUCUAUCAUGGUUAAUCCUCAAAAUAAACCCCUGGGUUGGGAGUUAUUAACCUCAUCUUGUGGUUAAUGUCAUUACAUGUUAUUGCUAAAAGGAAUCUUGCUGGUCCUUAAGGCACUGAGCCUCCUGGAUGUAAGCUCUGUCUCACCCGGCGCUGAACCUCCCGGGCUCCCGUGGCUCAGUGCACAUGUUGUUGUUAGUUGCCCUCGAAUUGGCUCCGACUCCUGGAGAUCUUCUGUAUAACAGAACAAAAUGUGGCCCAGUUCUGUGCUAUCUUCACAAUCAAUAGCCUUUUUUUAUUUUAUUUUAUUUUAUUG